rnacentral:rRNA from 1 species
UGGGGAAUUUUGGACAAUGGGCGCAAGCCUGAUCCAGCCAUGCCGCGUGCGGGAAGAAGGCCUUCGGGUUGUAAACCGCUUUUGUCAGGGAAGAAACGCUCCGGGUUAAUACCUCGGAGUAAUGACGGUACCUGAAGAAUAAGCACCGGCUAACUACGUGCCAGCAGCCGCGGUAAUACGUAGGGUGCAAGCGUUAAUCGGAAUUACUGGGCGUAAAGCGUGCGCAGGCGGCUUUGCAAGACAGAUGUGAAAUCCCCGGGCUUAACCUGGGAACUGCAUUUGUGACUGCAUGGCUGGAGUGCGGCAGAGGGGGAUGGAAUUCCGCGUGUAGCAGUGAAAUGCGUAGAUAUGCGGAGGAACACCGAUGGCGAAGGCAAUCCCCUGGGCCUGCACUGACGCUCAUGCACGAAAGCGUGGGGAGCAAACAG